rnacentral:rRNA from 1 species
UACGUAGGGUGCGAGCGUUGUCCGGAAUUAUUGGGCGUAAAGAGCUCGUAGGCGGUUUGUCGCGUCGGCCGUGAAAACUUGGGGCUUAACUCCAAGCUUGCGGUCGAUACGGGCAGACUUGAGUUCGGCAGGGGAGACUGGAAUUCCUGGUGUAGCGGUGAAAUGCGCAGAUAUCAGGAGGAACACCGGUGGCGAAGGCGGGACUCUGGGCCGAUACUGACGCUGAGGAGCGAAAGCGUGGGGAGCAAACAGG